GUCCCAGAAAACUCUACCAGCAAUUGUUGUGAGCCCAUUUAUGUAUACUUAAGUUUUAGAAAAAAAUUGUGAGUACCCGACAUUUCUGAUUUUUUUAAACCUUCUUAAACAUUUUUCCCAAAGAUAUUUUCAUUUUUUAAUCUCAAGCUGAUAAUGUGGUACUGCUUCAGAUAUGCAAUAAUUAAUAAAACACUUGAUGGUUACAUUUUAGGGGACCGUACCCUACCAUCUGUUGAUGGCUGUCAGACUGCUUCACUUUUUUUGAGAAUCCUUAUAUCUACACAAGUUUGUAAAUUGAAUACAUUCCGUGUCUUCUGGACAAGAUUUACAGAGCUCUGCUUAUUUGGAUGAAAAAUAGAGAGAGACAAGCUGUCAGUAUAAGUUUGCUCCAAGCUCUUCUUGUACAUUUCCAUUCCCAGAUCAAUAAUCUGUACUUUCAGGGGAUGAAGGAUGCACAGGUAAUGGGGGAAAAAAUAAGAACCAAGAUACAUCAUGUACAGGUACAAGCACCCAAUGAUAAAUGUAAACAUAUUGUAUACCUAGAAUGUACCAGUAAAAGAAUUAAAAAAAUUAAUCUGUACUUUCUUCAGGAAGCUCUGGUUCAUUUUAUUGGAGAAUAGAAUAGAAACUAAUUUCUAGAUACUAAUGGUGCUAGUUGUUACUAAGUUAUAUUCCCAUGUUGUCUCUCAGCUCUAAGGACAAGAAUGUAUACAUGUAUAUACUAACCUCUGUUCUACAUAUAUGUGUAAAUAUUCCUAUCAGUAGCCAUUUCUGUAUUUAUUAAAUUAAACAUGAGUUCAUGGUGUUGGCUCCAAUUACAGCCCCUUAAAAUUGGGAGCAUUCAAGCUUCAUUUUGCUAACCUGUAAAUUCCCACUCUAACAGUGCAAAAUCUGGGCAUCCAGUUGUACAACUUGUUACUUGUUUACUUUAUUUUAAAUUUCAGUGCACAUUCAUAGUCGUGUCAUGACUGUUAGCUUGUACUGCCAUGGGACACAGCUCUGUGAACUAAAAACAGGACUGAUGCAGAGUUCUUUGUGCCUUUAGUCUUACAGAUUCCACUCUUUUCUAAUGUUACUUAGGUCAUUUCCUUUCUCCCAUUCUCUUCCUUUAGGUCCUUCCAUACAUUUGAAAUAUGAUUACAUUGUCUUGUCACAGUCUGCAUUCUUUCCAGGAAUUCCCUUACCUCCUAAAUAAUUUAUUAAAAUUUUCAUACAUCAUAAUUUGUUCCUUGUGCUUUAAUGCACUGUAGAUUGUGACAAUGUGUAAUGAC
rnacentral:lncRNA from 1 species